UAUUACUUUUCUUAUAUUAAAAUAAUGAAAAUAGUAUUUAAAGGUUAUUUGUUUCUACAUUUUAAAUUAUAUCCCACAUCUUCUAACAUUUCAAUUUUGUAGUCUCAAGCCGAUGAUUGGAAGUUUCUAUAGCUUCGACAUCGGCUUGGUUGAUUUGUUUUGCUUUCGUUCCUUAAAUUUAUUUUGCAUGUUCCUUUCAUUUUUUAUUUUAAAUCUAACAAAGUAUUUCAUUGUUAUUUAAUCUGUUUCAUCCAACCAUAGUAAAACCAUACCUACUUCUGGAAUCUCUCCCA
rnacentral:lncRNA from 1 species